GCGCAGCAGUCGCGAAUAUUCGGCAAUGGGCGAAAGCCUGACCGAGCGACGCCGCGUGCGGGAUGAAGGCCUUCGGGUUGUAAACCGCUUUUCUAAAGGGAAAAAAUUGUGUCUCACUGUUGUUUGGAAGAAAAAAUAAUAAGAAUAAGAUGGAUGGCCGUAGAGUUCCGUGACUUCCGCAGGUUUCAAUAAAAUACCAAUUACAGUGAGCACAA
rnacentral:rRNA from 1 species